ensembl:misc_RNA 7SK 7SK RNA
GGAUGUGAGGGCCAUCUGGCUGUGACAUCAGUCACCUCGCUGAUUUGGCUGAUCUGGUCAGCUACGUAGUGUCGCCUUUCUGUCUCUGCAUUCAUGUGCAUCCCCUGCCCCUGAAGCUGUGAGAUCAGUCAAAGAAAACCUUCCUCAAGAGAGGAGGUCUGUUCUUUGGUCAAGGGCAUAUGAGUGUGUGCAUUACCUCACUAGAGCAUUAGGUGAGUUCCUCUUCAAGAGCCAAACAGGCUCUCAAGAAGUCAUGGGGUAACUCAAUAAGUUGGGGAAUCCAGUAAGGGGCUCUCCUUCCCUUCUUU